UUACAAUCCCUUAGUUAGACAUAAAGGUUCUCCAAGUUCCCAUCAGACUCAGGAGCCCAGCUGGCUUCACCCAGUGGAUCUGGCACUGGGGCUGCAGGUGGAGCUGCCUGCCAGUCCCGCGCCAUGCGCCCACACUCCUCAGCCCUUGGGUGGUCGAUGGGACUGGGCGCCAUGGAGCAGGGGGUGGCGCUCGUUGGGUAGGCUUGGGCUGCACAGGAGCCCACGGCCGGGGGUGGGUGGGGGCGGAGGCUCAGGCAUGGCGAGCUGCAGGUCGUGAGCCCUGCCCAGCGGGAAGGCAGCUAAGGCCCCACGAGAAAUUGAGUGCAGCGCCGGUGAGCCGGCACUGCUGGGGGACCCAGUACACCGUCCGCAGCCGCUGGCUUGGGUGCUAAGCCCCUCACUGCCCGGGGCCGGCAGGGCGGGCCGGCUGCUCCAAGUGCAGGGCCCGCCAAGCCCACGCCCACCCGGAACUCCAGCUAGCCCGCAAGCGCCGCACGCAGUCCCGGUUCCCGCUCGCGCCUCUCCCUCCACAACUCCCUGCAAGCUGAGAGAGCCGGCUCCGGCCUUGGCCAGCCCAGAAAGGGGCUCCAACAGUGCAGCGGCGGGCUGAAGGGCUUCUCAAGUGCAGUCAAAGUGGGAGCCCAGGCAGAGGAGGCGUGGAGAGCGAGGAAGGGCUGUGAGGACUGUCAGCACGCUGUCACCUCUCACUACCACAAAGCAACACAAACUGGGAAGCUCCAAACCACAGACUCGUUAUCUCACUUCUCUGGAGGCUACAAGUCUGAAGUCAAGGCGUCGGCUGGGCUGCGCUCUCCAAAACCUGUAGUUCCUGGGACUCAGAGAAAAUAAAUGACUGCCCAAAGUCUUCUAAUAACAAGAGACAGGUUCUCACCAUGUUUCCAAGGCUGGUCUCAAACUCCUGAGCUCAAGGGAUCUGCUGGCCUCGGCCUCCGAAAGUGCUGGGAUUACAGACAUUUCCUAUGUUGUGAGCUACAGUUACUUCUGAG
rnacentral:lncRNA from 1 species